UUCCGGUUGAUCCUGCCGGACCUGACUGCUAUCGGAUUGAUACUAAGCCAUGCGAGUCAUUGUAGCAACACAAGGCAUACGGCUCAGUAACGCGUAGUCAACCUAACCUAUGGACGGGAAUAACCUCGGGAAACUGAGAAUAAUGCCCGAUAGAACAUUAUGCCUGGAAUGGUUUAUGUUCCAAAUGAUUUAUCGCCGUAGGAUGGGACUGCGGCCUAUCAGUUUGUUGGUGAGGUAAUGGCCCACCAAGACUAUUACAGGUACGGGCUCUGAGAGGAGUAGCCCGGAGAUGGGUACUGAGACACGGACCCAGGCCCUAUGGGGCGCAGCAGGCGAGAAAACUUUGCAAUGUGCGAAAGCACGACAAGGUUAAUCCGAGUGGUUUCUGCUAAAGGAACCUUUUGUCAGUCCUAGAAACACUGAUGAAUAAGGGGUGGGCAAGUUCUGGUGUCAGCCGCCGCGGUAAAACCAGCACCUCAAGUGGUCAGGAUGGUUAUUGGGCCUAAAGCAUCCGUAGCCGGCUCUGUAAGUUUUCGGUUAAAUCUGUACGCUCAACGUACAGGCUGCCGGGAAUACUGCAAAGCUAGGGAGUGGGAGAGGUAGACGGUACUCGGUAGGAAGGGGUAAAAUCCUUUGAUCUAUUGAUGACCACCUGUGGCGAAGGCGGUCUACCAGAACACGUCCGACGGUGAGGGAUGAAAGCUGGGGGAGCAAACCGGAUUAGAUACCCGGGUAGUCCCAGCUGUAA
rnacentral:rRNA from 2 species